AGUUGUGAUCUGGAGUGCUCUCUGUGGCUCUUCUGUUCGGCGGGAGCUUCUGUAAGUGAUAGGUACAAGGUGAAUGGAUAAUAUUAUUGUGUUGCGGAGCUGUCUGUGCACAUUUUUAAUGUUUGCAAUGUGCUUGAUAAAUGAUACUAAUUUCAUGUAUUGCUCGGGCCGAACUUUUAGGUAGCACACGUUUGGGAGAUCGUUUGUGGCCGGUCCGAUGCGAUGAGCGUUGCAUCCUUUAUCCCUUCUUCGAUGUUGUUGCAUGCUUGCUGUGUGAUGUUGCUUCGAAGGCUUUGUUGACUUGAUUUAGGGUGCAAAGCGAAUCAAAAGGGCUCGAUAUGUGAGGUCUCAACUCUUGCCACACGCUUUUGUAUGUGCGUCAAAGUAUUACUCACUUUUGCAUGUUAACGUCAGGUUUCUGAGUUGGUAUGCAGCAAUGUACAAAAUAUCGUCAGACUUCGCUCCAUUACAAUAACCAAUGUUGUAGAGUAUGAAUGUUGCCUCACUGUUACGAACCUCCACCUCCUGGUGAUACCGAAGACUGGGAGCUACAGUGCGUGUCGACGCCGAACUCUGGCAGCUUGUGUUUUUCUCUUUUGUAUUCAACAGUGUUUGUCAUUUUAUUUAAAUAUCCAUGAUUUACCGCACGAAGUCUUUCAAGGAACGAGACCUCGGAGAGUGGUGGUGGUGGUCGUCGUCGAAUGUCAGGACUGUCGGCACUGCAAGCUUGAUGGGUUCGAGACUCCUCUGGGAAAUUUGACGCCCUGAAGGUGGGUUGAGGUUGACGAUGUGAAUGGGUUUCCAUGGAAGGGUGUUCGUAGAUUCUUUUUCCAUAUUUGCCCGACAUAAACUGUAUUGAACUACACUGCAUGACAAAUUAUUUCAUGCUGAUGUUAGUUGAGUUUGAUUAAGGUUGGUAUCAGUGUUGUUUGUACUUUCUGCAAAACAAGGGAGUUGUUGUUUUGCAUUGAAUGUGGCCGAAUUUCACAUAAGAAGUUUUACCUAUUGACAUA